ACUUCCUACAGAAAACCAGAAAGAAGUAGUAGUUUGUUUUCUGAAUGUAUCUUAAAUAACUCGUGAUUUUGUUUCCCCCGUUCUUUUUGUAGGGUGAAAGGGGAUUCCCAGGCUUGGAAGGGCAGCCAGGUUUGCCUGGGUUUCCAGGACCAGAAGGACCUCCUGGUCCAAGAGGCACAAAGGGUGAUGAUGGACUUCCAGGGCCUGUUGGACCCAAAGGAAUCAGAGGACCUCCAGGGCUUCCGGGAUUUCCAGGCACACCAGGACUUCCUGUGAGUAGGAAUGGCCUGUAUGGAUAGAAUCUGAUCCAUUUUCUCUUUCUGGCCCGGGAGAGCAUCCUGUGAGCUAACUGUACUUUCUUCUUUUUCACUUCAAAGGGAUUACCGGGACAGGAUGGGCCACCAGGACCUCAGGGUGUCCCAGGAUGCAAUGGAACAAAGGGAGAGCGUGGAUUCCCAGGCAGUCCAGGUUUUCCUGGUUUACAAGGGCCUCCUGUAAGUAAAAGAUUUCUAAAUCAGCUUCCUGUAAUCCACAGAAAAACUUCUACUUCGAUCUAUGAAAGAUCAGAUAAAUAUCAGCCUCUUUUCACAGUUAUUCUUUUAAUAAAUAAGACUAUAUCAAGUUCUUACAGUUAAAAAGUAAUCACAAUAUUUUAGAUAAAUAAAAGAGUGAGCUUUUCUGCUGUGUGCUAUGGC
rnacentral:lncRNA from 1 species